CCUCACGUCAAUAGCGCGGUGGCUGGGUCCCAGGCAUGCUUGCCACUUUGUUCUGCGGUCCUCAUCUAAGUUUCGACGGUGAUGACAUGGACUUAGGUUCAAAGUACGUGUUCCCCUUGAGUCAUUGUGGUUGAUUGAUGGGGGUAAUGUACAGUUGCGUGUCGCUAGUCAUUCAAUUGGUCCCCUUGUUUUAGAGUGUUGGCGGGAUAAGUCGUACGAAUGUUAACAAUAGUAUGCAAUAGCUGGCCAGCGAUCCCCUACCUGAUCUCGAGGGGGAUGGAAUGACUGGGGAAUAGGCCUGUUGUUAACCUGCGGAAUUUCGUCGGACGAAAUGUCAGGCGUGUCCGUGUGGGACUUGUGCUAAACCAGUUUAGUACAUAUGACGAAGACAUUGGGCUCUUUGAAUAACAACAGUGUCCUUGACCUCCUUGUGCCUCACAACGCUAAAAUAUACACCCCCUGAAAUUGACAAGACGGCGAUGAAGAAGGAGAGCCGGCCUCCAGCUUGUCAGCCGAGAAGACACUGGAUGGACCCCCAAGAAGAUGUUGCUGCCAAUGUUAGAGCCAUACAAGCAGACCAGGCCUGCUGGAAGGGAUGCAAGGGACAGGAGAUACAAGGGACACCGGAUACAAGGGAUGACAGAGAAAGGACACAAAAGACAACGGAACAGCCUACAGAAUGAGUGUAGAAGAUGGCUGUCAAGCUGACCCACUGACGAAAUCCAUUCGAACUGAAGUUUACUCGACUAUCUCCAACCACAGACACCAACACCUCGUCCCAUGAUGACGAUGUCUCAUAUCCAUCCAUCAACCAUUUGGGGGAAGACAACUUCAUGGAGACCUUUCUGGCAAAUGGUGUAUGGUGUAGGACAAAGGAUUCCAUUGCAUAUAUGUCGUGCACGGAUGUGGUCAGACGAUUGAGAGUCGGGUAGAAAAAGUGGAUUGAAGGGUCACGCUGAAGGAUAUCGAUGGUGGAUACGAACAUCAGACUUUUAUGAUGAUCUUACUCGAGCGAUAUCCAGCAGCCAUCAUGAAAGCAGGCGGUCUCAUUUUGGAAGGAUGCAUGGUGAAGCAUCCGACAGGAGGAAGAAGGAUGUUGCUGACCAGCACAUCCCAUUGAUGUAUUUUCGUCACCGUAGACCUAUUGUUUUUA